GAUGUCAGAGACCUUCACAGCGUCUGGAAAAAUAACACACGUAAUCUAUUGUCAUUGGACAUCUCAAUUGAGUCUGAUGAUGAUAUUACAAGUGACUCUGAUGAUGAUAUUGCGGUCAGAGGUGGUUCACCUGCAACAGCUGAGCCUACAUCCCAUAUUGAGUUUGACAUGUCAUCCUGCCACAGGCUGGAAUAUUUAGAUCUACGCGGCAACGACAUUUGGCUUAAAGGUCCGGCUGUGUCCAAUGUUGCUUGCCAAUUUUAAAACAUGCGUUCAAUGCGAUGCUGAUCUUCUAAAAUGUUAAACCAAGGCCCUGGUGUCGUCAAUCCAGCAAUCAUUCUAAUGGUAGAUUCAGGACACCCUUUUUGACCAAGGACCUUGGUCUUGCUCAAAACGCAGUGAUGGCAGUGAAGUGACCGACACCAUAUGGGUCUCUUUCUCGUCAGAUUUACCGCAUCAUGACUAAUCACGGGUUUUGGUUUGAAAGAGUUCUCGGUUGCUUUUUAAUUAUUGCUCAAUUAGAACAAGCAAAAGACAUGAUAAAUAACACCAUUAUGUACUAUUAUUAUUACCUAAAUGUAUAUACUAAAAAUCAUGUAAAUACAUGAAUUAAAGUUUUUUAGGAAAACACUGUUAAUGAUUCAAGAAAUUUGAAAAAUGAGUUUAAAAUGAAUUUGUUUUAUAGAUAUAUACAAGAAUUUGUACAUCUGAGGUAAUGAUUUAAAAAAAAACAUCAACGUUUUCUUAGAUAUAACUUAAAAUAUAAUUGUUGAUAUGUACCUGGUGGAAUAUGUGUAUUGUUAUAAAAAGCUUUUGUUCAGCCAGAAAUGUCUUAGAUGAAAUAAUAUUUUUAUGUAAUUUUCACACUGUAUAAAGGGCGUUUCAGCAGAUAACCAGUAAUAAGACUGCAUAUCACCGGAUGUUACAUCAGCAUGAGUUUGUGUUUAUUUUGUAUGUACCAAUAUAUGUUGAAGGAUUCGGAGAGGUACUGUACUUUUCUAUCUUGAUGACUAAAAAAUGUGCAUUUUAAGAAAGAGGUUUACAUGACAGUGCCUCGUCAACAGUCAACAUUUUGAUUUCAUGAUAGGUUGUGUUUUGAAAUAGCAUUUAAAAUACUUAUACUUUUUAAAAGAUGCAAAUGGGAAUGUUGAUUUUGGUAGUUGGUGUUGAAAUCAAUAUGAUUUGGUAUGAAUAGAAUAGUGAGAACUGUAUGUGCUUCUUUAGUAUGGUAUUGUUUAUAAUAAAUACCAGUUUAAUGUAUCAUAUAGUGUGA